rfam:Clostridium puniceum strain DSM 2619 CLPTN_contig000154, whole genome shotgun sequence.
UAGAACUAAUUUCUCGAUUAGUCGAAUGAUAGAGUAACGUCUUGAAAGGCUAACCUUGAUACUCCGAAUAGCGUUUAUAUUAUAAGAUAUAAAGGUUAUACGCUCGGUGAAGUCAGUUGAGAGAACACCCUAAGUAUGAGGGAUCCCUAACAUACAGGAAAUGCGAACCAGAGAUGGUCGAGUGUUUGAUAGGCUGGAGGUCUAUAAA